rnacentral:rRNA from 1 species
GAUGAACGCUAGCGGCAGGCUUAAUACAUGCAAGUCGAGGGGCAUCGCGGGUAGCAAUACCUGGCGGCGACCGGCGCACGGGUGCGUAACGCGUAUGUAAUCUACCUUUAACCGGGGAAUAGCCCAGAGAAAUCUGGAUUAAUGCCCUAUAGUAUUAUUGGAAGGCAUCUUUCGAUAAUUAAAGCUCCGGCGGUUUUAGAUGAACAUGCGUGUCAUUAGUUAGUUGGCGAGGUAACGGCUCACCAAGACUACGAUGACUAGGGGGUCUGAGAGGCUGAUCCCCCACACUGGUACUGGGACACGGACCAGACUCCUACGGGAGGCAGCAGUAAGGAAUAUUGGGCAAUGGAGGCAACUCUGACCCAGCCAUGCCGCGUGAAGGAUGACGGCCCUCGUGGUUGUAAACUUCUUUUGUACGGGAAUAACCCUCCGAACGUGUUCGGAGCUGAAGGUACCGUAAGAAUAAGGAUCGGCUAACUCCGUGCCAGCCGCCGCGGUAAAAC